CGCCCGCCCAGCGCCACAACUCCCCACAGGGCGGACGAGCCUCCUCACGCUUGGCUUCCUCGUCUCGCCGGCCGCCGCAUCAGUUCCCCGGGCUGGUGGAGAAGGGCUCCGCUAGAAGUUUGUCCCGGGUCACGGAGCCGCCGCCACGAGGAGUUUUUUUUAGGGGGGUUUGUGCAAGCGGUGCGGGAGCAAGCUCGCGCGGGGACGGGGACGGGGGCGCGGCCUGGCCGCCCUGGGCCCAGCGCGGAGCCGCUGCGUGUCUCUCUCUCUCCCUCCCUCCCUCCCUCCCUCCCUCCCUCCCUCCCUCCCUCUCUCUCUCUCUCUCUCUCUCUCUCUCUCUCUCUCUCUCUCUGUCUCGGAAGGAGCGGGAAGUAGCAGCGCCCCCGAGCCGCCUUGGUCUGCGGCCCGCACCCCGCGAAGUACCCACGACACCCCCCCACCCAAACCCGCGGGCGGCGGCGCACGGAAGGCGGCGGGCGAUGGCCAGCCACCAGGCUCCGGACGCUAUCCUUAACUUCUGUAUUGCGAAGUGACUCUACCAUCAAGCACAUUAAGCCAGUGCCAGGCAGCUGCAGGCUCCUGACCUACCCCACUGCGUGCAGGGGAGGCCUUGGAAAGAGACACUCCUCUGCUGAGCCCUUCCUUCACACUUUAUGAUGCCUUAAAGGCCAAAGAAAUAAAUGACCCCAGCUGAUGUAGACUUGAGUAUAACGAAGAUAUCUUACAGCAAAUGUGGAGAGCCCUGGAUUUCGCGCUUGGUCAAAACAAAGGCAAAACCUGCACUUUCUUCAGGAAUUCCACUUAGGAGGUCCUUUAUGGGGCCACCCUUUAAAAGUCUCCUUGUUAAUCAUCUACUUCAUAAAAUGACCUUACAUCACCAUGCUACUUUAUCCAAAUAUGUACCAAUCAAGCCUUAGCUUGGAACUGCAAUACUAAGUUUUGAAGUGUCAUACUUAUUUCAAAAGAACCAGCAAGUGGCAGGGGUCCAAUCUGCAAUCUGGGAUUUCCAUUUUGAUGAAAUUGUGCACGUGACAAGAGUUAAAUUUUACUUUAAAAAAAAAAAACAUUAACAGCAAUGAAUUUUUUUUGUUCCAAUAAAGUUUGAGGCUGAUGGUAUUCUAGAGUAUUUGGAUUAGAUGGUAAAAAAUCCAGUGUCUUCACAUUGCUUCUCAGUAACUUCUGUUGGAUGAAAAAAGGUUAAUAUUAGCGUAGGAUUUCAGUCACAAUGUAGGUUAAUUCUUUCAGCAAACAUCUAUUAAGAUAACAUUGCAGUCAUGAAACACUGCGUGAAGCGCUGGAGGCUGUUUUGGCUGGGAUCCCUUGGAAACAGACCUUGAGGUUAGGGUUUAAGUACAAGUGAUUUUUAAUUGGAAAGAUGAUUCAAACAAAAGAAGAAAGUGUGAAGGAAAGGAAAAAGAAAAAAGAAAAGCAGCAGCAGCCAAUACCUGGCGUAUUAAUGAGCAUGUUGACAGUCUGGACCUCUGGAAUCCCCCAGCUUUGGGUAUCCAAACACUGCUAGCACAGCAUGAUUCCAGUACUCCCAUAGAAACCCAGUGCUUUCCUCUCAUGACUUAAUGGGUGAGUCUGACUUCCAGUUAUUCUGCUGUUCCCCAUACAAUGCUGAGCUGACUCUGCCCUGCACAUUUCAAAGGGUGAUGGGAGCUUGCCAACAGCUCUUUCUCCUAAGAAUCCUGACAACUACAGUUUGUUUACUGCCUCUUGCAGGUCACUGGUUCCGAGCAACAUUUGACCCAAAUGAAGGCCUCUCUCGAAAACGACUGGAUUGGACUUCUCCCAAGAAGGGCCCUGCAGGAGCCCUCCUGGGAACAUUUGCUUUGGCUUGUUUACUCACCAGUGGAUGUAUCAUUGCAGUCUAGCGGCAUGUCAUUCUGGGGACGAUGACCUCUGAAGAAUAGUUGGUCAGAGUGAGGUGAGAGGUAAGGUCAGGCUAGCUCCUAACAUGCACGGGCUUUCUGGAAGAGGACCAAGGAAGACGACACACCACAUGUCAUGUAUUUCCAAGAGCUCAAUCAUGCCAGCAAAACAUAUUAUCCUAAUAUAGCUUGACAAAAGAAGCAGAAAGCCUAUGUUUUGGAUUGUAUUUUUUAAGGGGAGGGCAUUUGGUACAGCUUGAACUCAGAACUGUAAGCAUGCUCAAGCAAAUGCUGUACCUGAGAGCUUUAUCACCAACCCUUCGUGUAGUUUUCCGAUGACAACAUAUACAUAUAUAUGUAAAAUCUCCACAUAUGCAUGUACUACUACAUGUAUUAUCCCACUUAUGUAUUACACAUGAUCUGUAUGUUUUAAUUGUUAAUAUAAUUAUUAGAAGUAUAUAUGUAAUACCAAUUUUGUAAAAGAAAAAAUCAAUUUAUGUACAAAAACCUAGAGAUAAGUUACAUUUAAAAUAAAUACCAGAAAAAUUUGAAGACAACCACAUACAUGCACAUCUAGAUGUUACACUAAAAAAAAACAGUGUACCUAUGUAUAUAAGAGGUAAACACAUACAUAAGUCAUGUUAUGAUGUAACUCUCAGAGAG